CUGUAGGCAACUAAGCCAACUCUGCUCUUUUCCCCAUGGGAGCCCAGGGUGCAACGGCCUCAAGCAGCAGCCUCCUCAGGGGUGUAUGUUGCUGGUAUAGCUUCCCUGAGUGACCUGAAAGACAAGC
ensembl:snoRNA SNORA70 Small nucleolar RNA SNORA70